AAGUGUUCGUCAUGCGUAUUUUCAGUUCUUUUUUAUUUCUCUGGAUCGGGCUUAUUCAUUCACUUGUCUAGUUCAAGCCAAAACCUUAUUUCUAUCCUAGUUUUUAUGAAUAUGGAAAGAGAUUUAUUUUCUGACUUGGACAAAGAUGACAUAAUUAAUGUCAUGGGCAGGAGUUGUGAAGAACUUACCAAAGACUGAAAGGAUAGUUAGUAAAAUCAUUAAUUACUCAACUAGCACUGUGCUAAGAAUUUUUUUUGUAUUUAUAUUGUUAACAACAGUAUUCAUUUUGACCUACUUCAUAUAAUGAUUUAUUUUA